UUUUUGAAAUAACACUAGUUUUCCAAAGUUAAUUUAUUUUUUCCUGAAGGACCUCUCAGUGACUUAUAUGAUAAUGUGUAUUACAAUUAUCCAAGAGAAAAGACCAGCAUAGAGCAAUUUCUUAGUCUAAAAAUAAAAUCAAUAAAAACCUGUCUUAGGCAUAUUCACACAAUUUAGAAACAAAAUGCAGUCAUCUUACUUUGGGUUCUUAAAUCAAUGUGCCAGGGAGAGUGAACUAUAAAGGAGAAGCCCUCUAAUUGAUUCAGGCAGGAUGGCAUUUGGUUUUUUUAAUUAAAAUAUUUGGUUAGUUUUUAGUCACGAAACAUUUUAACCUGAAGCAUGUGACAGUAUAUCCCUCAGCUAAUUUCUUGAGGAAGGACCAAAGCCUUUUGUAACAGGAAGGACUCCUCACAGGGUCCCCUCAAGGUCCUCUUCCCUGCAUAAGCCACACCCAUGCAGCAUCAUCUACAGUAUCUGAUUUCAGUUUCUUUAAGUGAACUGGCAAACUCUACUUAUUCACAGAUGAGUUAAGAAGAGGACUGAAGUUUGGAUGGAGAGAUAGAUGGCUUUGGGUUUGGAUAUACUGAAUUUACAGUGUUUUCAGAAUAUUCACACAGUUCUUUGGCAGGUAUUUAGAAAUGCAUAAAUUUGCCUUUCCCUAAUUAGAAUUACUCACAGUUAAAUUUUUAAUUUUUUGCAUGUAUUCAAGAGUGUGUUUGUUGUUUCUUUACCUACUGGAAUCUGCUACUGAGGCUAUUAAAUCACUAUCAAAUCUCAUAAAAUCACAUUAUUUACUUUCACAUCAAUAAACCUUUCACAAUAAACAUUUUUUUCAGACACAUGAGGUUUGCAUUUAGAUAUAAAAACCACACAUUGAUACACUGGUUCUUGUCUCCAGCAAGAAUGACAGAGAAGCACAAACAGGUGCCACACUAGUGACAACACAAACUUGCUGUUGAAAACCAAUCUACCUCAGAAUUACAGGAAUAUUUAAUGAAAACUCAAUGGAAAUGUCUUGAAACUCUAGAAAAAUAUCUUGUGAAUAGUUAUAUCUUUGGCAAUGACAGCAUACCAUUCUCUUAUACAGCUCUUCAAAGUUUGACACCAUUGCUAAGUGGUGGUAUUACAUUAGUUUUCCCUAAAGGAAGUCGAGUUUUCCAUUUAUUUGGAGCAAACUAGCUAGUUUCUCAAAAUGACUUAAAUCUCCCUGAAUGCUAUUGAUUUGUGCGAGUGGAUGUAUAGAGUGGGGUUUAUCACUAUUGUGUUAUGUGAAUAUAUCCUCAUGUUGAAUGCAUGUUUUGUGCACACCAUGUGUUAUUUUCUGAACUCCAUGUGUCAAGUUGAACAUUCACAUGGACAUUUUUUUUCCUCAUAUAUAAUUAAAGUGAAGAAAAUUAAAGAAUUCAACUUACUUUCUCUUGGAAAUUCUUAUAAAAAUGUAGUAUUAGUAUAAGAAAUUAUCUUAAUUCUUACUGCUAAUUUAUCUCCUUUACCAUGUGUGAAUUUAGGAUUUUUAAAGAAUGUUUACUAUAUUCAGAUACUUUAGAGAAGCAGAAUGAAUAAGAGACAGAGAGAUACAGAGAGAUAUUUUAAUAAAUUGGCUUAUAUGAUCACGGGACUGGCAAAUUUGAAUUGUGCAGAUCAGGCCAGCACAGUAGAAAACAGUAAAGAUUGGUGUUUUAUCUUGAGUCCAAGGGCAUCCUGGAGGCAGAAAUUUUGUUUUCUCAGGGGACUUCAGUCUUUUUCUCUUUAAGCCUUUAACUGAAUGGAUGAGGCCCACUCACAUUAUGGAGGGUAAUCUGCUUUACUCAGUGUCCAGUAAUUUAAAUAUUAGCCGUAUCUAAAAAACACCAUGACAGCAACAUCUAAACUGGUGUGUGACACCGGUAUGGGCACUGGUAUGGGCACAGUAGCCUAACCCAUUUUGAUACACAGAAUUAACAUUGUAUGUAAUGAUGGUAUUGUGUGUGCCCAAUGUAAAAUUCAUCCUCAAAUCCUUAAGAGAAAAGGGUUUAGCUUCAAACAGUGGGCAGAUACACAGUAUGUUCCAAGUCCUAAACUAUUGAGCUAGGCUAGAUUCCAAAGACAGGUGUGGUUAAAAGCCUGACAGGAAUGAUGAGUCAUCUGUUUAUCAUUGCUUCCCUUGUAUUUAUUACCAGAUCAGUAAAUGAGCAGUACUGGAAGUACUCAAGAUCAAGGAUAUGAAUUGACAUGACUCCCGAAUCUCCCUCACCUCCUACAAAAGCAUGACUGAUGUGGUCCAUGUAGCUCACAGGAAGUAGGGCAUUUGCACCAUCAGAGCUGCUCAGAGCCACACACUCAUGUUUCACAACAUUGGUCUUGGAGAGACCUACAUCCACCUGCAGUGGUCUACCUUUUUAUAAGGAAUUUCUUGCUGUGCCACUUAUUCCCAUGUGAUAAUUCUUUUGUCUGGACAUGACUUUUCUUAUAACUAUUAUCACUAAUGGGAUUUUGAAUAAAUCCACAAAUACUCCUUAAAGUUUCUUCCCCCAAAUUAUAUGCUGUUGUUUUUUUAACAUGGUAUGUUAUUAAAUAGCAGAUUUAAAUAUGAGCAUUUUCAUAUUUAAAAUUAGGUUCAUGGUGUUGAGUAAAGAUAAUCAGAUAACUAAAUGGAAUCUUUAGGAAAUUUUAAAUAGUUUGCAGCAAGCAAGUUAUUAAAGAAUUAUUUAUUAAGAAUUUUAGUCUAAUACACUGAAAAAACCUAAAAUACAGUAUUCCAUUUGCCAUAAUAAUGCAUUUAUCAAGUAUUUUUUGGUAGUUGUUAGAAUUUUAGGUCUAGAGAAUCCUUUGACCUUGGGCAUUUCAUAAUACAUAAAGAUGGGGCCACUUUUCAUUCACACCAAGAUAGUAUAGCCACAGUGAUUAGUUAUACAGGUACUGAAGCUAGACUUUUGGGCUUCAUGCCUAGCUUUUUUAUUUCCUCUUUUUUUCACGACCAGCUUUUUGACUCAUCUACCAUAUGCUCUUGAGCAAAUUACUUAAGCCUCAGUACAAACCUUGGGUGUCUCAUCUGUAAAAUGAUGAUGACACUAAUGCUCUCUUUAUUGUGAAACUUAAAUGGGUAGAUAGUAUAAAACAUUCAAGCCAAGUCACAAGUUAAAAUUUCCUAAUUUUAAUAUAUAAAAAUCUCCUGAAAUAAAAACCAUGAUAAUUAGAAGUGAAACAUUCUAUCAACAGUAUUAUUAGCAGACUACUCACAGUAUAAAAUGAGUUAAUGAACUUGAAGAUGGUUCAAUAGAAAUUAUCCAGACUAUAAACAAAAAAAGUUAGUGAAAACAAAACCACACAACAGAGGAUCCAACUCUGGGACAAUAUCAAAUAGUGUAAAAUAGAUAGAAUUUGGCCUCAAAGGAGAAAAGAGAAAGGGGACAGAACAAAUAUUUGAAGAUAGUAUAGCCAGGAUUUUUCCAAAAUUAAUGAAGAAAAGCAAACCAUAUAUGCAAAAACUCAGAAAGUUCCAAGCAAAGUAAUAAGAAAACACAUUCGGAGACAUUCUCCUUAAACUACAAAAAAAUAAUACUUAAAAAAAUAUCUUGAAGACAGCCAGAGAUUGCCAGAGGAGAGCUGUAGGGGAGGAAAUAAAUAAGACAAAGAAUCAUAGUGUUUGUCUCACUAGAAACUUUUGGGAGCCGGAGGACAAUGGAGCAACAUCUUUAAAGUACUGAAAAAAAAAAAAAAUCAACCACACAAAUUUAUAUGCUCAAAAUAUAUAUAUAUUUCAAAAAUUAAGUAAAAGUGAAAAUAAUAACUUUUCAAAGAAACGAAAGGUGGAAGAAAUCAUUGCCAGAAGACAGGGACUAUAAGAAUUGUUAAAGAACUUCUUGAUCAGAAGAGAGAAGACAGUAGAUGGGAAAUUGGAUCUAUGAAGAAGUGAAGAGUGCUAGAAAUGAUUAAAAAAAAGGGGGGGGUAAACAUAAAAGUUUGUUUUCUUAUUUUUAAAUCUUUAAAUGUAGUUGAAAGUUUACAGCAAAAAUAUUAAUACAUUGGUGGGUUUAUGUCAUGUUUAGAUGUAAAUCGUAUGGUAACAAUAAUACAAAUUGUGGGGAAGAGAAAAUAAGAUUGUUAAACUAUAUAUAAAGUGUAAUCUUAUCUGAAGGAACACAGUGAUAAGUUAACGAUAUAUACAUUUGACCCUAGAACAGUCAUUAAAAAAUAAAGAUCUAUAAAUAUAGCCAAUAGUUGGAAUAACAUGGAGCCAUAAAGUAAUACUUACUCCAAAAAAUAAAACAGGAAAACAGAAAAUAAAGGAACAAAGAACAGAUAAGACAAACAAUAAAAGAAAUAACAAGAUGGUAGAUAAACUCAGUCAUAUGAAACUAUAUUAAAUGGAAAUGCUCAAAUAUUCUAAUCAGAAGAUAGAUUGUUAAUUGGAUAAAAAUAAGCAGGGACCACCUACAAGUCAUGUAUAAGAAACCCACUUCAAAUAUAAAGAAAUAAAUUGGUGAACCAACAACUGCAAUCUGCGCAUUUAUCCUAAAGAAAUGAUACCGUAUGUUCACAAAAAAUCUACAUAGAGUGAUGGCAGCUUUAUUCACAACAGCUCGGGGUUCCCGUUGUGGCGCAGUGGAAACGAAUCCAACUAGGAACCAUGAGGUUGCGGGUUCAAUCCCUAACCUUGCUCAGUGGGUUGAGGAUCCGGUGUUGCCAUGAGCUGUGGUGUAGGUGGCAGACAGGGCUUGGAUCUGGCCUUGUUUGGGCUGUGGUGUAGGCUGGCAGCUGUAGCUCCAAUUAGACCCCUAGCCUGGGAACUUCCAUAUGCCAUGGGUGCAGCCCUAAAAAGACAAACAACAACAACAACAAAAACGACAGCUCAAAUUGGAAGCAGUCUGCAUGUCCAUCAAUGGGUGACUCUAAAUAAACUGUGAUGUGUACAUACCAGAAAUAUUAUUCAGUGAUAAAAAGAAAAUGAUUGAUAAGUUCAAGUUAGAUAAACCUCAAGGGAAUUCUGCUGAGUGAAAAAAAGCCAAUCCAAAAAAAGUGAAUCAAAUACUCUGAUUCUAUUUAUAUAACAAUUUUGAAAUAAUAAAAUUAUGAAAAUGGAGACUGGACUAGUGGUUGCCAGGAGUUAGGAAUGGAGGGGCUGAGUAGAAGUAGCUGAGUGCAGUCAUGAGAGAGAAGCACAAGGGAUCCUUGUAGUCACAGAACUGUAUUGUAUGAAGCUGAUGAAACACUUUACAAGGUAGCUCUACAAUUUUUCAUUCUCACCAGCAAUGGGUGAGCUCCCAGUUUCUCCACAUUUUCACCCAAUUGUCCUUUUAAUUGAAUUUUUAAUUGAGGUGAUUGUGGAUUCAGAUGCAGUUGUAAGACAUAAUAAAUAUCCUAUGUGCCCUUUCUCUAAUAUACUCCCGUGGUAGCAUCUUGAGUCACCAUAGGACAGUAUAUAAAAGAGUACAUGUAAAACUGGGACUACAUGAAAACUGGAGUAUGCUUGAUUGAUUCUAUCAAUGAUAAUAUCCUGUUUGUGAUAGUGUUCUAUUAAAUAUAAAAAAUUUAUAUUCAAAAUAUAAUUUCUAGGAACCAAGAAACCUGAAGGGGGAAAAAGGCAAAUUUCUUCACAAGACAGAAUAUGCAAAUAGACAAAAAUCAUAUGUAAAACUGUCUAAUUAGAUAUCCAGGAAAUGGAAAUUCAAACCUCAAUGCAAUAGUAGGAUACAAUCAAACAGAAUGACAAAAAAAAAAGAGAGAGAGAGAGAAAAGAAAAUUAAUACCAAAUACCGGUAAAGAUGUAGAGCAAUAAGAGGCUACUGUACAUGCCUGGUGUGAAUAGAAACUGCUGCAACUACUUGGGAAAGUGGUUUGACAUCAUCUAUUAAAGCUAAUCAUACACGUAUUGUAAGACCCAGGAUUUCACUCACCAUUAAAAAGAAAUAGAUAUAUACGGAUACUAAAAGUAUGCACAAAAAUGUUACUGCUUGCAGAACUUCUAAGAACCAAAAAUCAAAACAAUCCAAAUACCCAUUAGUAGUAAAAUGGAUUUUUGAAAAGUACGGUAAAAUCACACAACAGUUUAAAAAAGACAAAAGAAUACUAUAGAGCAACAAAAAGGGACAAAUCACUGUUAUUCAUACAUUGUGGCUGAAUUUCAUAAACUAUGUUAAGAGAAAGAAGCUAGCACAAAAAGGACACACUGUUGAUUCCAUUAAUACAAAGUUAAAUAGUCAGUACUAAUAUAUGUUGAUGAAAGUCAGAAUACUGGUUUCCUUUGUGGAGGAAAAUGUCUAGAAAGUGGCAAGGGAGGUUUCUGAGAGUAUGAUUAUGGCUGAUUCUUGAUCAGGGCGGUGAUGGUUAAACAGGUGAUGUUAAGUUUGUAAAAAUGCAUAGGACAGUAACAGGAUUUUGUGUAAGUUCCUGUAUAUCUGUUAAAGUUCAGCCUAAGUUUACAAACAAAAUGUGAGUAACAGACACUCAUUAAAAAUAUAGAAAUCAGUUAUUUUGGGACAUGCUUUUGUAUCAGUAUCCACACAUGUAGAUUAAUAAUAAUAAUGCUAGAUGUACAUAGAGCCUUUUUCUAAACAUCAAAUAUAUUCUAAGAAUAUGGUUCUUAGAAUGCAGCUAAAUUUUGCUGGUGUGGUAGGUGAUGAUAGUGUAUAUUUAAGAGUAGAAAUUUAAAUAUGCAUUAAAUUUCAAAUGACUCCAUUUUAAUGUUGGAUAAUUUUAAUUUUACUCUAUUAGCAACACAGGCAAAAAGAGACCCUAUCUUAAAAGUAAGAUUAAUGGACAUAUUCAUAUGAUGAAUGAAAUUUUCCCAGAACUUCAGGAAUCUAUGCCUUCACUGUACAUCUCAUUAUUAUUAGUUGGACUCCUUCCAACUGCUAGGAAAAAGGAGUGAAAAUACUCGAUAUUACCAAAUUCCCAUUGCAUUUGGUUGGACCCCCCAGCUAGAAAAUUCCAUGCAAGUUUAUUUAGUCAACCAGUCUGUUUUAAAGUUUUGUAUACAUCACCCAUUUGUGUUUAAAAAUUAUUGGAACAUCUGAAAGAUAUUUAUUAUUCCAACAAAUUUAUAAAGAAUGUAAUUACUGUAAAACCCUAUAAUUAUUGUAAAAUUACCUAACAGAACAUGCCUUGCUGGCCUAUAUAGAAACCUCUUUGGGGCACAUGCAAACACACACACACACACACACACACUGUUCUGGUGGAGCAAGUAGAAGGUUAUGAAAAAAUGACUUAAGUUUACUGAGUGAAGAGUAUAUAGAAAUUUAUUUAGAAAAAUGAAUGACCAUGUUUGCAAUGAAGCCCCAAAAUAUCACAUGAAAGAUGCCCAUAAUAUUCUGAGGAUCGAGGGGGAGCAUACAUGCACACAAUUUACUGGACCACUGCAAUUGCAGAGGCAUGAAAGCUGACAUGGGAAGAUACAGUAUAUCAUUGGGGAGAUACAGUACGUCAUUGGGGUGGGUGGGGGAGGAUGUAAGUGCUUAUGGAUGUUUUAGAAAGAUACUGAGGCUUGGAGUUCCUGUUGUGGCUCAUUGGUUAACAAACCCGACUAGCAUCCAUGAGGACAUGGGUUUGAUCCCUGGCCCUUCUCAGUGGGUUAAGCAUGGCCAUGAGCUGUGGUGUAGACCAUAGACGAGGCUUGGAUACCAAGCCAGCAGCUACAGCUCCGAUUCAACCCCUAGCCUGGGAACCUCCAUAUGCCGAGGGCACAGCCUAAAAAGACAAAAGACAAAAAAAAAAAAAAAAAAAAAAAAAA
rnacentral:lncRNA from 1 species